GACAGAGGGUGCAAACGUUGUUCGGAAUUACUGGGCGUAAAGCGCGUGCAGGCGGCCUUGCAAGUCGGACGUGAAAUCCCACGGCUCAACCGUGGAAGUGCAUUCGAAACUGCGAGGCUGGAGUCCUGGAGAGGAAAGUGGAAUACUCGGUGUAGAGGUGAAAUUCGUAGAUAUCGGGAGGAACACCGGUGGCGAAGGCGGCGACCUGGGUAGAUACUGACGCUGAGGUGCGAAAGCGUGGGGAGCAAACAGG
rnacentral:rRNA from 1 species